AAACUCAAUGUGAUUUCAACAUGGCAAACGACAACUUCGAGGAUCGAUUGAUGAGGAGGUGCUGAAGUGCCUUCACCACUACGAUUCUAGCCAUACAUUAUAUAAAGUCCUGCAUGUAAAUACCAAUUCAUGGAGGGAGACACUGGGGUUUGACCCAACCACUUGUUUGGAAAAGUGGAGUAGGUUUUGCGAGAAGUUCGUCAAGGCAAAGAAAAGAAACAAGGGCCUCAGUGGAGAUGCCGGUGGAAAGGCUACUUCAGAAAUGUUGCUGAUGGCUUGUUCGGCACAUGAAGCAUGGGAGAACUGAAAGCAACAUGCCGUCUUCACCAAAGGAUGAGGCACAAACAUCAGUGAAUGGAGACAGCACCUGGUUUUUGUUCUCUGCGCCCCAGCACUGCCUGUUCACCGGCCCAGUAGUAGCAAGGGUGUGAGAAGAAGGGCCCUGGCACCUAGAGCUGAUUUCAUGGAUGAACUCUCACCAAAACUCCGGGAGGAAUUUGAUCACCAGCUGUAUGAGUUCGUAAAUUACUUCAAGAAGAGGACAUGGACCACAGUGAAAUGCACACCUUCUGUUGUUUUUCAGACAUCUCAGCAGUCGAACAUUAGACCCUUUUGUUGUUUACAUGUCUGUUCAUAGCAGACACUGUUGUACAGAAAUAUUUAUAACACCGACACUUACAUUUUAUUCCAUAGACACUUGUUUACAUGUCUGUUCUCAGCAGACACUUUUGUACUGUGGUUUACUUUGAGAAGAAAGAAUA